UUCCCUUAGUAACUGCGAGUGAAGAGGGAAAAGCUCAAAUUUAAAAUCUGGCAGUGCUUCACUGUCCGAGUUGUAACCUAGAGAAGUGUAACCUGUGCUGGACCGUGUAUAAGUCUCCUGGAAUGGAGCAUCACAGAGGGUGAGAAUCCCGUCUUUGACAUGGACUACCAGUGCAUUGUGGUUGCGCUCUCAACGAGUCGAGUUGUUUGGGAAUGCAGCUCUAAAUGGGUGGUAAAUUCCAUCUAAAGCUAAAUAUUGGCGAGAGACCGAUAGCGAACAAGUACCGUGAGGGAAAGAUGAAAAGAACUUUGGAAAGAGAGUUAAACAGUAUGUGAAAUUGUUGAAAGGGAAACGUUUGAAGUCAGUCGCGUUGGUUGGGGAUCAGCCUGACAUUGUUGGGUGUACUUCCUGGUCGACGGGCCAACAUCAGUUUUGACUGCCAGAAAAAGGCCAAAGGAAUGUGGCACCUUUGGGUGUGUUAUAGCCCUUGGUCGUAUAUGGUGGUUGGGACUGAGGAAAGCAGCGUGCCGAAAGGCCGGGUUUCGACCACGUUCACGCUGAGGAUGUUGGCAUAAUGGCUUUAAGCGACCCGUCUUGAAACACGGACCAAGGAGUCUAACAUGCAUGCGAGUGUUUGGGUGGAAAACCCUUACGCGUAAUGAAAGUGAAAGUUGAGAUCCCUGUCGCGGGGAGCAUCGACGCCCGGACCAGAACUUUUGGGACGGAUCUGCGGUAGAGCACGUAUGUUGGGACCCGAAAGAUGGUGAACUAUGCCUGAAUAGGGUGAAGCCAGAGGAAACUCUGGUGGAGGCUCGUAGCGAUUCUGACGUGCAAAUCGAUCGUCAAAUUUGGGUAUAGGGGCGAAA
rnacentral:rRNA from 1 species